GGGGCCGUAGCUCAGUUGGGAGAGCGCAGCAAUCGCACUGCUGAGGUCAGGGGUUCGAUUCCCCCUGUCUCUU
rnacentral:tRNA from 1 species